rnacentral:rRNA from 1 species
CCCUUAGACGCUCUAGGCGGCACGCGCGCUACAAUGGGUGGUAGAACGUGUAACUGCUCCCGAAAGGGAGGGUGAACCACGAAUACUUACCCGUGAAUGGGAUAGUUUGUUGCAAUUUUCGGACUUGAACUAGGAAUCCCUUGUAAGAAUGCUCAAGAAUAGCGUGCUGAAUACGUCCCUGCCGUUUGUACACACCGCCCGUCGUUUCUUCCGACUGAUACUCAUUGUGAGUUGCAAGGAUUCUUAUUGAAAAAUUGCUGCGAAUGCUUUGUAUUGGAUGAAGAAAAAGUCGUAACA